GGGGGCGUUUUGGCUUCGACGGGGGUAAGAUGGGUUUGAUAAGCGGGCCGAGUAAAGCAUGGACGACUCGAAAAUCAGCUAUGCACUAAAUAUAAACGCAGAAGACAAUUUUGCAUUAGCAGCUUAAUAUAAGCUACUCAUCAGUCCAGGAUGCCUACGUCUUGGGUAGCUGGUGUCAUUGAAGUAGGAAACGAAGUCUAGCAAAGCUUUGAGCUAGAGGGGUACUUAUGAAGCUAGGGAAUUAGGAGUUUGUUUGUGAGCGAACUAAGGACCGAAAUUUUAGUCACAAACUACGCUCGUAGAAAGUCAGGCUGGUCUGCUUUCGGACACGGGUUCGACACCCGUCGCCUCCACCA
rnacentral:tmRNA from 2 species